rnacentral:rRNA from 1 species
GACGAACGCUGGCGGCGUGCCUAAUACAUGCAAGUCGAACGCUUCUUUCCUCCCGAGUGCUUGCACUCUAUUGGAAAGAGGAGUUGCGGACGGGUGAGUAACACGUGGGUAACCUACCCAUCAGAGGGGGAUAACACUUGGAAACAGGUUCUAAUACCGCAUAACAGUUUAUGCCGCAUGGCAUAAGAGUGAAAUGCGCUUUCGGGUGUCGCUUAUGGAUGUACCCGCGGUGCAUUCGCUAGUUGGUGAGGUAACGGCUCACCAAGGCCACGAUGCAUAGAAGAACUGAGAGGGUGAUAGGCCACACUGGGACUGAGACACGGCAAAGACUCCUACGGGAGGCAGCAGUAGGGAAUCUUCGACAAUGGACGAAAGUCUGACCGAGCAACGCCGCGUGAGUGAAGAAGGUAUUCGGAUCGUAAAACUCUGUUGUUAGAGAAGAAAAAGGAAGUUAGUAAAUGAACGUCCCCUGACGGUAUCUAAGCAGAAAGACAAGGCUAACUACGUG